rnacentral:lncRNA from 10 species
AUCUGCAGCUGGACAGAGAAGUGGUGCUUUGUUUCUCUGUGCCUCAGUUUCCCUCUUGGUAAAAUAGGCAUGGUUCCUCCUAUGGAUGUAAGAAGGACCUAGGAACCUUUGCAAGGGCAGAGGAGUCCGCCCCUCUGGUCUGACUGGGAGACAAGGUGUUCCCCAAUCUGAUGGUGGGGACAAGGUGGCCCAACACAGUGGGAAAAAUAAGGAAACUAAGGAGCUCUCACCAAAUCCCAUGAGGGAGACAGGACUGUCCAAAUCCAAUGAAGAAGAUAAGAAGCUCCAGUCCUGUGCAGCAAGAACGAGUGUCCAGUCUAUAUUUCCAGUCUGCCAGGGGAGAGCUGUGCCCUGAAACCCUCUGCCCUGCUGAAGAAUGGAGAGGACUCCCCC